CCUACGGAUGGCAGCAGUGGGGAAUAUUGGACAAUGGGCGAAAGCCUGAUCCAGCCAUGCCGCGUGUGUGAAGAAGGCCUUCGGGUUGUAAAGCACUUUCAGUGGGGAAGAAAGCCUUGGGGCUAAUACCCUCGAGGAAGGACAUCACCCACAGAAGAAGCACCGGCUAACUCCGUGCCAGCAGCCGCGGUAAUACGGAGGGUGCGAGCGUUAAUCGGAAUUACUGGGCGUAAAGCGCGCGUAGGCGGUCUGAUAAGCCGGUUGUGAAAGCCCCGGGCUCAACCUGGGAACGGCAUCCGGAACUGUCAGGCUAGAGUGCAGGAGAGGAAGGUAGAAUUCCCGGUGUAGCGGUGAAAUGCGUAGAGAUCGGGAGGAAUACCAGUGGCGAAGGCGGCCUUCUGGACUGACACUGACGCUGAGGUGCGAAAGCGUGGGUAGCAAACAGGAUUAGAUACCCUUGUAGUC
rnacentral:rRNA from 1 species